CCAAUAGCGUAUAUUAAAGUUGUUGCAGUUAAAAAGCUCGUAGUUGAAUUUCGGGGUUAGUAAGUUGGUCGUGCCACUGGUAUGUACUGGCUUUACUGAUUCCUCCUUCUUGUAGAACCGUAAUGCCAUUCAGUUGGUGUUGCGGGGAAACAGGACUGUUACUUUGAAAAAAUUAGAGUGUUUAAAGCAGGCUAACGCCUGAAUACAUUAGCAUGGAAUAAUGAAAUAGGACGUUUGAUCCUAUUUUGUUGGUUUCUAGGAUUGACGUAAUGAUUAAUAGGGAUAGUUGGGGGCAUUAGUAUUCAAUUGUCAGAGGUGAAAUUCUUGGAUUUAUUGAAGACUGACUACUGCGAAAGCAUUUGCCAAGGAUGUUUUCAUUAAUCAAGAACGAAAGUUAGGGGAUCGAAGACGAUCAGGUACCGUCGUAGUCUUAACCAUAAACUAUGCCGACUAGGGAUCGGAUGAUGUUAAUUUUAUAAUGACUCAUUCGGCGCCUUACG
rnacentral:rRNA from 1 species